AGGGCGCACGGUGGAUGCCUUGGCACUAGGAGCCGAUGAAGGACGGGACUAACACCGAUAUGCUUUGGGGAGCUGUACGUAAGCUAUGAUCCAGAGAUUUCCGAAUGGGGGAACCCAGCAUCUUUAAUAGGAUGUUACGAUUGUGUGAAUACAUAGCACAUUCGAGGUAGACGCAGAGAACUGAAACAUCUAAGUACCUGCAGGAAGAGAAAGAAAAUUCGAUUCCCUGAGUAGCGGCGAGCGAAACGGGAAAAGCCCAAACCAACAAGCUUGCUUGUUGGGGUUGUAGGACUCCAAUAUGGUCGUUCUUUCAGAUAGUCGAAUGACUUGGAAAAGUCAGUCAAAGAGGGUAAAAACCCCGUAGACGAAAUGUGGAAGACACCUAGGAGGAUCCUGAGUACGGCGGAACACGAGAAAUUCCGUCGGAAUCCGGGAGGACCAUCUCCCAAGGCUAAAUACUCCCUAGUGACCGAUAGUGAACCAGUACCGUGAGGGAAAGGUGAAAAGCACCCCGGAAGGGGAGUGAAAUAGAACCUGAAACCGUGUGCCUACAACAAGUCAAAGCCCGUUAAUGGGUGAUGGCGUGCCUUUUGUAGAAUGAACCGGCGAGUUACGAUUGCAUGCGAGGUUAAGUUGAAGAGACGGAGCCGCAGCGAAAGCGAGUCUGAAUAGGGCGUUUGAGUAUGUAGUCGUAGACCCGAAACCAUGUGAUCUACCCAUGUCCAGGUUGAAGGUGCGGUAAAACGCACUGGAGGACCGAACCCACGUACGUUGAAAAGUGCGGGGAUGAGGUGUGGGUAGCGGAGAAAUUCCAAACGAACUUGGAGAUAGCUGGUUCUCUCCGAAAUAGCUUUAGGGCUAGCCUCGGAAUUGAGAAUGAUGGAGGUAGAGCACUGUUUGGACUAGGGGCCCAUCUCGGGUUACCGAAUUCAGAUAAACUCCGAAUGCCAUUCAUUCAUAUCCGGGAGUCAGACUGUGAGUGAUAAGAUCCAUAGUCGAAAGGGAAACAGCCCAGACCACCAGCUAAGGUCCCAAAAUAUAUGUUAAGUGGAAAAGGAUGUGGGGUUGCACAGACAACUAGGAUGUUGGCUUAGAAGCAGCCACCAUUUAAAGAGUGCGUAAUAGCUCACUAGUCGAGUGACCCUGCGCCGAAAAUGUACCGGGGCUAAACAUAUUACCGAAGCUGUGGAGUACACCUUUAGGUGUAUUGGUAGGAGAGCGUUCUAAGGGCGUCGAAGGCAGAUCGUGAGGACUGCUGGAGCGCUUAGAAGUGAGAAUGCCGGUAUGAGUAGCGAAAGACAGGUGAGAAUCCUGUCCACCGAAUGACUAAGGUUUCCUGGGGAAGGCUCGUCCGCCCAGGGUUAGUCGGGACCUAAGCCGAGGCCGAUAGGCGUAGGCGAUGGAUAACAGGUUGAUAUUCCUGUACCCGUUGUUUUUGUUUGAGCAAUGGAGGGACGCAGGAGGCUAAGGAAUGCAGACGAUCGGAAAUGUCUGUCCAAGCAGUAAGUCUGAAGAGGAGUCAAAUGCUUCUUUUCUUAAGGACAAGCUGUGAUGGGGAGGGAAAUAAUAGUACCGAAGUUCCUGAUGUCACACUGCCGAGAAAAGCUUCUAGUGAGAAAACAGCGGCCCGUACCGCAAACCGACACAGGUAGUCGAGGAGAGAAUCCUAAGGUGAGCGAGAGAACUCUCGUUAAGGAACUCGGCAAAAUGACCCCGUAACUUCGGGAGAAGGGGUGCUGAUCAUACGAUCAGCCGCAGUGAAUAGGCCCAAGCGACUGUUUAUCAAAAACACAGGUCUCUGCAAAAUCGUAAGAUGAAGUAUAGGGGCUGACGCCUGCCCGGUGCUGGAAGGUUAAGAGGAGUGCUUAGCGCAAGCGAAGGUACGAAUUGAAGCCCCAGUAAACGGCGGCCGUAACUAUAACGGUCCUAAGGUAGCGAAAUUCCUUGUCGGGUAAGUUCCGACCCGCACGAAAGGCGUAACGAUUUGGGCACUGUCUCAACGAGAGACUCGGUGAAAUUUUAGUACCUGUGAAGAUGCAGGUUACCCGCGACAGGACGGAAAGACCCCAUGGAGCUUUACUGUAGUUUGAUAUUGAGUGUCUGUACCGCAUGUACAGGAUAGGUAGGAGCCGUAGAAAUCGGAACGCUAGUUUCGAUGGAGGCGCUGGUGGGAUACUACCCCUGCGUUAUGGCCACUCUAACCCGCACCACUGAUCGUGGUGGGAGACAGUGUCAGAUGGGCAGUUUGACUGGGGCGGUCGCCUCCUAAAAGGUAACGGAGGCGCCCAAAGGUUCCCUCAGAAUGGUUGGAAAUCAUUCGAAGAGUGUAAAGGCAGAAGGGAGCUUGACUGCGAGACCAACAAGUCGAGCAGGGACGAAAGUCGGGCUUAGUGAUCCGGUGGUUCCGCAUGGAAGGGCCAUCGCUCAACGGAUAAAAGCUACCCUGGGGAUAACAGGCUUAUCUCCCCCAAGAGUCCACAUCGACGGGGAGGUUUGGCACCUCGAUGUCGGCUCG
rnacentral:rRNA from 1 species